rnacentral:rRNA from 1 species
AUGGAGUGCAUGGUCACCUCAUAUUUCAAGGAGGUAUACACAAAAGAUCCAACGUUGUCCCUUGAAGUGGUGUUGAAGCAAAUCUUACCCAAGGUAACUAAGGCGAUGAGUGAGAGGCUUAUGGCUCGCUAUACUGAUGAAGAAAUUUCUGAUGCUUUGUUCCAAAUUGGCCCUUUGAAAGCACCAGGGCGAGAUGGUUUUCUGUCUCGGUUUUAUCAAAAGAAUUGGGGUGCCUUAAAGUGGAAAUUAUAGCGGUCGUCCGACAGUUUUUGAAACGGGACAUAUGCUGGUGUCAACGACACAUUCAUUGUAUUGAUACCAAAAUUAAAACACCUAAGCUCUCUAAAAGAUUUCCGCCCUAUCUUGUUAUGUAACGUGAUCUAUAAGAUAGUAUCAAAAUGCAUGGUGAAUCAUUUGCGGCCACUUCUCACAGAGUUAAUAUCGGAGAAUCAAAGUGCGUUUAUACCGGGAAGGCCCAUCUCGAACAACUCCAUCAUUGCAUUCGAAUGCAUUCAUCAUAUUCAGAGAUCUAAUAAUGGAGCAAAUUUUUGUGCCUAUAAGUUGGAUCUCUCCAAGGCUUAUGAUCGUGUUGAUUGGGACUUCUUGGAACAAGCCUUAGUAAGGCGAGGUUUAUCUCCCCACUUAAUAUCCAUGGUAAUGGAGUGUGUUCGUUUUGUCAAAUACUCGGCAAAAUUUAAUGGGCAUCCUAUGGAACAAUAUACUCCUUCCCGAGAGCUUCAUCAAGGUGACCCGUUAUUACCCCUUUUGUUCCUUUUAGUAGCUGAUGCUUUAUCUGCUCUAUUACAUAAUGAUGUAUAAGACAAAGGCUUGGAGGCGGUGAAUAUUUGUCAGAGGGCACCCGCUAUUUCACAUUUAUUGUUUGCGGAUGACUCCCUCCUCUUUUUCGCUAAUCAGGACCAAGUGGCAAUAGUCAAGGAUGUUUUGAACACUUAUGCUACAGCGAUGGGUCAACUCAUAAACCCCUCAAAGUGCUCCAUCCUAUUUGCUGAAAAUUGUCCUGGUCCUAUCUCUCAAGCUGUGAAGGAUAUGUUGGGUGUUUUACAAUCUGAUUUUGACUCCAAGUAUCUAGGAUUGCUAGUUCUAGAAGGGAGAAUGCAUAAAGGAAGAUUUGAAUCUUUGCAGUCUAGAUUUAGUAAGAGAUUUGUGGACUCUAGCGAGAGAUAUUCCUCAUUCGCAAGUAAGUAAGUGUUGAUAAAAUCAGUGGCUCGAGCAAUUCCCACCUAUGUCAUAAGUGUCUUCAAAUUACCGUUUGUGGUCUGUGAUGAGUUGACCAAAAUGAUAAGGCAGUAUUGGUGGGGAGUAGAAAAUGCCCUGGACCACAUGGGAUAA